rnacentral:rRNA from 1 species
AUACGGAGGAUCCGAGCGUUAUCAGGAUUUAUUGGGUUUAAAGGGCGCGCAGGCGGCCAUUUAAGUCAGCGGUUAAAUCGUGGGGCUCAACCCCAUUCUGCCGUUGAUACUGGGUGGCUUGAUUGCGGUCGAGGUUGGCGGAAUUCGUUGUGUAGCGGUGAAAUGCAUAGAUAUGACGAAGAACACCGAUUGCGUAGGCAGCUGACCAGACCGCAAAUGACGCUCAUGCACGAAAGUGCGGGGAUCGAACAGGAUUAGAUACCCUGGUAGUCCGCACAGUAAACGAUGAAUACUUGUUUUCGGCGAUAUAAUGUCGGAGGCAAAGCGAAAGCGAUAAGUAUUCCGCCUGGGGAGUACGCCGGCAACGGUGAAACUCAAAUGAAUUGACGGG